rnacentral:lncRNA from 1 species
ACCCGCCUUUACUGCGGCGGAGUGUCAUUGCUGACGUGGUGAGCUUCAUCCAAUCAUUUGGUUAUAGAACAUUCUAAAACUUAGAUGAGACGAUUGUGAUUGGCUGUAGGGCAUAAGCCCGCCUCCAGGGUGACGUGUCUGCCUAUGGAUAUCAGUUGCCAGAGAAACCUGGCUUUACUAUGGCGGUUGGAGAGUCGGCAGUGAACACACGUCGUCGUCUGUCGGAAAGAACUGGAUCCUCGUUUCAGGUUUCGGGGUGGGGGUGAGAAGAAAGGGUUGACGAUUUCCUCUUAUCGUCGUGUAUACAGACAAGAUUAAUUAAUCCUUCCGUAAAAGAAAUUCGAGAUACAAAAGAGACGUAUCAGUCUUUACCAGUGAAAUAAUUUAUUUGGCAGUUACCUCAAAAUAGCGGGGAUUGGAAUUUUCCGUAUUGAAAAGUU